rnacentral:rRNA from 1 species
CCUACGGGAGGCAGCAGUCGAGAAUCAUUCACAAUGGGGGAAACCCUGAUGGUGCGACGCCGCGUGGGGGAAUGAAGGUCUUGGGAUUGUAAACCCCUGUCAUGUGGGAGCAAAUUAAAAAGAUAGUACCACAAGAGGAAGAGACGGCUAACUCUGUGCCAGCAGCCGCGGUAAUACAGAGGUCUCAAGCGGUGUUCGGAAUCACUGGGCGUAAAGCGUGCGUAGGCGGUUGCGUAAGACGUGUGUGAAAGGCGCGGGCGUAACCCGCGGACGGCACAUGAUACUGCGAGACUAGAGUAAUGGAGGGGGAACCGGAAUUCUAGGUGUAGCAGUGAAAUGCGUAGAUAUCGAGAGGAACACUCGUGGCGAAGGCGGGUUCCUGGACAUUAACUGACGCUGAGGCACGAAGGCCAGGGGAGCGAAAGGGAUUAGAUACCCCAGUAGUC